rnacentral:tRNA from 1 species
GCCCCCAUGGCUCAGUGGUUAGACACCGGUCUCGUAAACCGGGGGCGAGAGUUCGAAUCUCUCUGGGGGCA